rnacentral:rRNA from 1 species
UACGUAGGGACCGAGCGUUGUCCGGAAUCAUUGGGCGUAAAGAGCGUGUAGGCGGCCAGGUAGGUCAGCUGUGAAAACUCGAGGCUCAACCUCGAGACGUCGGUUGAAACCAUCUGGCUAGAGUCCGGAAGAGGAGAGUGGAAUUCCUGGUGUAGCGGUGAAAUGCGCAGAUAUCAGGAAGAACACCCGUGGCGAAGGCGGCUCUCUGGGACGGUACUGACGCUGAGACGCGAAAGCGUGGGGAGCGAACAGG